rnacentral:rRNA from 1 species
UAGGGAAUCUUCCACAAUGGACGCAAGUCUGAUGGAGCAACGCCGCGUGAGUGAAGAAGGUUUUCGGACCGUAAAGCUCUGUUGUUGGUGAAGAAGGAUAGAGGUAGUAACUGGCCUUUAUUUGACGGUAAUCAACCAGAAAGUCACGGCUAACUACGUGCCAGCAGCCGCGGUAAUACGUAGGUGGCAAGCGUUGUCCGGAUUUAUUGGGCGUAAAGCGAGCGCAGGCGGAAGAAUAAGUCUGAUGUGAAAGCCCUCGGCUUAACCGAGGAACUGCAUCGGAAACUGUUUUUCUUGAGUGCAGAAGAGGAGAGUGGAAUUCCAUGUGUAGCGGUGGAAUGCGUAGAUAUAUGGAAGAACACCAGUGGCGAAGGCGACUCUCUGGUCUGCAACUGACGCUGAGGCUCGAAAGCAUGGGUAGCGAACAGG